rnacentral:ncRNA from 1 species
ACCGCCAGGACCUUGGCGAUAUAGGGAAUCAGCGGCAGGUUCAGAACCAGAAGGAUCAGAUUGCCGACAUACAUUGAGAUGAUCACGGCCCAGAAGAUCUCCGGCUCAUCCACCAUCAGGCGCGGCCC